rnacentral:lncRNA from 1 species
CUCCUUUGCUUCCUCUGACGUUAUCUAACUUGACAUUGCCAAGACUUCAUCAGCUGCCCCCUCACCGACUCCACAACCCCAGUGUGGAACUGACCCCUAAGGACAGGCUCCAUGUUCACUGCUGGGAGCUUGGAUGCUGUUCCUGGUUCUGCAUGACAAAGCCUGAGCUUGCUCUUCGAUACCAGAGUUCCAUUCUCUUCUGGCAAUCACACUGGUCAACACUGUCACCUUAGGCUGAGCUA